AUCAAAUGUAUGAACACAUAAAAAUGAUCACCAAGCUUAGGGGAUCAUAAGUUUGACUCUUGACAAGCUAGAUGGAGGCUUGGGAAUGAAGCGGGUCAAACAGAGCAAGUACGGAAAGAAAAGCAUAGUUUGGAUGUGAGGUGAAGUCAGCAAUGCUCCGGAUGAUGAUCAAGCCCACCGAAGAACCGAACACAAGCAAAAUACAAGCUUCCAC